UAAAUAAAUGUACUGGCCCACCUGUUCCCCAGACCUGAAUCCGAUUGAGCACAUCUGGGACAUCAUGUCUCGCUCCAUACACCAACGUCACGUUGCACCACAGACUGUCCAGGAGGUGGCGGAUGCCUUAGUCCUGGUCUGGGA